CUGCUCGCUUUGGGAGCACGUAUACUAAAAUUGGAACAAUACAGAGAUUAUCAUAGCUUCUGCGCAAGGAUAACCCACAAAUUCUUGAAGUGUUCCAUAUUUUU
rnacentral:snRNA from 1 species